rnacentral:rRNA from 1 species
UACGUAGGGGGCAAGCGUUGUCCGGAUUUACUGGGCGUAAAGAGCGUGUAGGCGGCCAGGCAGGUCUGUUGUGAAAACUGGAGGCUCAACUUCCAGACGUCGACAGAAACCGCUUGGCUAGAGUCCGGAAGAGGAGAGUGGAAUUCCUGGUGUAGCGGUGAAAUGCGCAGAUAUCAGGAAGAACACCUAUGGCGAAGGCAGCUCUCUGGGACGGUACUGACGCUGAGACGCGAAAGCGUGGGGAGCGAACAGG